GGGCUGGGGCUCAGUGGUAGAGUGCUUGCCUAGCAUGUGUGAGGCACUGGGUUCAAUCCUCAGCACCACA
rnacentral:tRNA from 1 species